UGGGGAAUAUUGGACAAUGGGGGCAACCCUGAUCCAGCCAUACCGCGUGUGUGAAGAAGGCCUUCGGGUUGUAAAGCACUUUCAGUGGGGAGGAAAAGUUGCCGGCGAAUACCCGGCGACCGUGACGCUACCUGCAGAAGAAGCACCGGCAAACUCCGUGCCAGCAGCCGCGGUAAUACGGAGGGUGCGAGCGUUAAUCGGAAUUACUGGGCGUAAAGCGCGCGUAGGCGGUUUGGUAAGCUGGAUGUGA
rnacentral:rRNA from 1 species